UACGUAGGGGGCAAGCGUUAUCCGGAUUUACUGGGUGUAAAGGGAGCGUAGGCGGGUUGUUAAGUCAGUUGUGAAAGUUUGCGGCUCAACCGUAAAAUUGCAGUUGAUACUGGCAUCCUUGAGUACAGUAGAGGUAGGCGGAAUUCGUGGUGUAGCGGUGAAAUGCUUAGAUAUCACGAAGAACUCCGAUUGCGAAGGCAGCCUGCUGGACUGUAACUGACGCUGAGGCACGAAAGCGUGGGGAGCAAAUAGG
rnacentral:rRNA from 1 species